rnacentral:rRNA from 1 species
UACGAAGGGGGCUAGCGUUGUUCGGAAUUACUGGGCGUAAAGGGCUCGUAGGCGGCCAACUAAGUCGGAUGUGAAAUCCCCAGGCUUAACCUGGGAACUGCAUCCGAUACUGGAUGGCUUGAAUCCGGGAGAGGGAUGCAGAAUUCCAGGUGUAGCGGUGAAAUGCGUAGAUAUCUGGAGGAACACCCGUAGCGAAGGCGGCACUCUGGGCCGGUACUGGACGCUGAGGAGCGAAAGCG